GAUGAACGCUAGCGGCAGGCUUAACACAUGCAAGUCGUGGGGCAGCGCGGUGUAGCAAUACACUGGCGGCGACCGGCAAACGGGUGCGGAACACGUACGCAACCUUCCUCAGAGCGGGGGAUAGCCUCUCGAAAGAGAGAUUAAUACCCCAUAGUAUCGUCAGAUGGCAUCUGAAGACGAUUAAAGCUCCGGCACUUUGAGAUGGGCGUGCGGCUGAUUAGGUAGUUGGUAGGGUAACGGCCUACCAAGCCGACGAUCAGUAGCUGAUGUGAGAGCAUGAUCAGCCACACGGGCACUGAGACACGGGCCCGACUCCUACGGGAGGCAGCAGUGAGGAAUAUUGGUCAAUGGAGGCAACUCUGAACCAGCCAUGCCGCGUGAAGGAUGAAGGUCCUCUGGAUUGUAAACUUCUUUUAUAGAAGAAGAAACCCCAUUUUUCUAAGUGGGUUGACGGUACUCUAUGAAUAAGCACCGGCUAACUCCGUG
rnacentral:rRNA from 1 species